GCAAAAACAUUCGGACCGUCGGUCUACCGAGCAAUAUCACCCGCUCGGUGGAAGAUCUUCCCUUUGUCGUUUAAC
rnacentral:pre_miRNA from 1 species